GACGAACGCUGGCGGCGUGCUUAACACAUGCAAGUCGAACGGAAAGGCCCUGCUUUUGUGGGGUGCUCGAGUGGCGAACGGGUGAGUAACACGUGAGUAACCUGCCCUUGACUUUGGGAUAACUUCAGGAAACUGGGGCUAAUACCGGAUAGGAGCUCCUGCUGCAUGGUGGGGGUUGGAAAGUUUCGGCGGUUGGGGAUGGACUCGCGGCUUAUCAGCUUGUUGGUGGGGUAGUGGCUUACCAAGGCUUUGACGGGUAGCCGGCCUGAGAGGGUGACCGGCCACAUUGGGACUGAGAUACGGCCCAGACUCCUACGGGAGGCAGCAGUGGGGAAUAUUGCACAAUGGGCGGAAGCCUGAUGCAGCAACGCCGCGUGCGGGAUGACGGCCUUCGGGUUGUAAACCGCUUUCGCCUGUGACGAGGCGUGAGUGACGGUAAUGGGUAAAGAAGCACCGGCUAACUACGUGCCAGCAGCCGCGGUGAUACGUAGGGUGCGAGCGUUGUCCGGAUUUAUUGGGCGUAAAGGGCUCGUAGGUGGUUGAUCGCGUCGGAAGUGUAAUCUUGGGGCUUAACCCUGAGCGUGCUUUCGAUACGGGUUGACUUGAGGAAGGUAGGGGAGAAUGGAAUUCCUGGUGGAGCGGUGGAAUGCGCAGAUAUCAGGAGGAACACCAGUGGCGAAGGCGGUUCUCUGGGCCCUUCCUGACGCUGAGGAGCGAAAGCGUGGGGAGCGAACAGGCUUAGAUACCCUGGUAGUCCACGCUGUAAACGGUGGGUACUAGGUGUGGGGUCCAUUCCACGGGUUCCGUGCCGUAGCUAACGCUUUAAGUACCCCGCCUGGGGAGUACGGCCGCAAGGCUAAAACUCAAAGGAAUUGACGGGGCCCCGCACAAGCGGCGGAGCAUGCGGAUUAAUUCGAUGCAACGCGUAGAACCUUACCUGGGUUUGACAUGGAUCGGGAGCGCUCAGAGAUGGGUGUGCCUCUUUUGGGGUCGGUUCACAGGUGGUGCAUGGCUGUCGUCAGCUCGUGUCGUGAGAUGUUGGGUUAAGUCCCGCAACGAGCGCAACCCUUGUUCACUGUUGCCAGCACGUUAUGGUGGGGACUCAGUGGAGACCGCCGGGGUCAACUCGGAGGAAGGUGGGGAUGACGUCAAGUCAUCAUGCCCCUUAUGUCCAGGGCUUCACGCAUGCUACAAUGGCUGGUACAGAGAGUGGCGAGCCUGUGAGGGUGAGCGAAUCUCGGAAAGCCGGUCUCAGUUCGGAUUGGGGUCUGCAACUCGACCUCAUGAAGUCGGAGUCGCUAGUAAUCGCAGAUCAGCAACGCUGCGGUGAAUACGUUCCCGGG
rnacentral:rRNA from 1 species